GGUUGGCUCUGUGACCAGCAAGCAGGAGGCCACGGCCGUCCCACCCUCAGGGCUCUCACAUGGUGAGUGGCUUGGAGGACGCCCUCCAUGUGGAGCUCAGGGCCACCACCCCGACGGGGCCUGCAAGGGUGGGCUUGUGCCUAUCACUCAUGCCUUCCCGGCUACCUCGGCCCAGUGAGAGUUGAGCACUGCGCCGAGCGCUCACAGCUGGGUCCCAGGAUCCAGCUCCGCGAGGCUGCCCAUUGCAGAGCAGAGGGCAGAGGGCAGAGGGCAGAGGGCAAAGGCAGCCUGGGUGGCCCAGCCACUGCCCCAACCUGAGGUCUCCCAGCAGCACCAGGUCUGGAAAAUGCAAAUCCCAAGAAACAUAAAAGAAACCCUGAGGAUCACAAAGAAAGCUGCGCUCUCGAGAAACAAAUACAUAAACAAAAAUAAAAAGGAGAAGAGAAGCAAGUUCGGCUUAGUACUUGUGAUUUUUCUUUAAACCUCAAAUAUUAUCG
rnacentral:lncRNA from 1 species